AGUGAACGCUGGCGGUAGGCCUAACACUUGCAAGUCGAACGGCAGCACAGUAAGAGCUUGCUCUUACGGGUGGCGAGUGGCGGACGGGUGAGGAAUACAUCGGCAUCUACUUUUUCGUGGGGGAUAACGUAGGGACACUUACGCUAAUACCGCAUACGACCUACGGGUGAAAUCAGGGGAUCUUCGGACCUUGCCCGAUUGAAUGAGCCGAUGUCGGAUUAGCUAGUUGGCGGGGUAAAGGCCCACCAAGGCGACGAUCCGUAGCUGGGCUGAGAGGAUGAUCAGCCACACUGGAACUGAGACACGGUCCAGACUCCUACGGGAGGCAGCAGUGGGGAAUAUUGGACAAUGGGCGCAAGCCUGAUCCAGCCAUACCGCGUGGGUGAAGAAGGCCUUCGGGUUGUAAAGCCCUUUUGUUGGGAAAGAAAAGCAGCAGGUUAAUACCCCGCUGUUCUGACGGUACCCAAAGAAUAAGCACCGGCUAACUUCGUG
rnacentral:rRNA from 1 species